UUUCCAUUAAUCUGUCACUCAUUGGGUUAGUAAUGCCCGUAAAUCAUUACACAUUUCCAUUCCAGUCAUCACCACAUUGACAAUGGUGAACUUGACACACAAAUCAAAAUAAAAAUCUCCACCGACAGUUUGUAUCGUUUUUCACAUUUUGAUUGAUUCUAGAGAAUGGAAAUUGUUAAACCUUUCAUCAUUUACAAAGACUGCGUUUAGCAUCGAUAAAUUGGAAAAAGCCAUCAAAUUUCCACCCCUCACUCAACCGAGAGAUCGAUUAAUCGUUCAUCUUCUUCACGAAAAUCACAUCGUCGAUGAUUCUGAAAAAGCUGCAGUGCACCUCGACAAAUGUCGAAAGAGGGAAUUGUCGACGUUGGGUCAGGGCUCGACUUGGCGGAGGGAAUCCACAGUAACCCCUGACCCGGGAAAGAGUAUCGCUUUGACGCGCCUUAGAAAGUUUAAAAGCCGAGUAAACCAUCACCAGGUCCUCCUUUCCUCUGACAUAUCAGCGAUACCGGCGAGUCACUGGAACACCAUUCAGGCAGAAGGCAAAUCACGCUUACGUCCUUGCGCACUGUGACAUUUGGAUUUUACGGUGAAUUCUCUUUUACCGCAGAGUGGAGCCCAGCGGGCACAUUGGCAAAGCCACGAGGAAAGUUUGAUGUUACGUAAUUUUUCACCAUACCGAGGCGAUUGGUGACCUUGCCAUUUGGAGAUGCUACCGCUAGAGAGAAGGGGGAAGGAGGGAGGAUGUUGGAUGUAAAAAGGUGGAGGAAUUCAUGAAGACAAAAUUUUUCACGACGUCACUUUUCAUUUUUUACACGGAAAUGUACGUUUCAGAAAAAAAAAAAUGCCAAGGGCGGUUUGUUCCCCAUCUCACCAGACAAAUGUUGAAAAAAUGACUCUUGACGUUUGCCAUACAGAUGUCCACCCCUUCGUAAAAUGUCCUAGGACAAUUUCUCCUCGUCGGACAUCCUGAGACAACUAAUGCAAAGAACUCUUGACAUUUCUCCAGCAAAAAUUCCCUCUGAAGCGCAAUUUUGUUUGCAUUCAAGUGAGCAUUUAUUGAUGAAUCUCGGACUAAUGUAAUGUAAUUUGAUUCUUUAUUAUGAAAGAAAAAUAAUAGCCGCUGGACUACUUAAAUAUGCCCCCAACAGAUUUGCCCUUUUGGUGCAGAUAAAUA